AGAAAGAGAAGAAGGGAAGUCAUUGAUUUAAAAUUGUUUAAAUGAAUAUUUUGAAAUGUAAAUCAGAUAAUGUAAUAAAAAUUGUGUGUGUGUGUAUGUUUGUGUGUGUGUGUGUGUGUGUGUGUGUGUGUGUAACAUGAGAAGCAUCAGACCAAAAGCCCAUCACAGUGCCCAACCAGAUGCCUAUGGAAUGCCUGAAAGCAGGACUUGAGUUUCCUCACCAAUUGAUAUUUAGAGCCAUACUGCUUCCA